rnacentral:rRNA from 1 species
GAUGAACGCUAGCGGGAGGCCUAAUACAUGCAAGUCGAGCGGUAGAGUGACUUCGGUUGCUUGAGAGCGGCGAACGGGUGAGUAACGCGUACACAAUCUACCUUUAAGAGGGGAAUAGCCCUGGGAAACUGGGAUUAAUGCCCCAUGGCAUCACGAAGUGGCAUCGCUUUGUGAUUAAAGCUGAGGUGCUUAGAGAUGAGUGUGCGUCUGAUUAGCUAGUUGGUGCGGUAACGGCGCACCAAGGCGACGAUCAGUAGGGGGCGUGAGAGCGUGGACCCCCACACGGGUACUGAGACACGGACCCGACCCCUACGGGAGGCAGCAGUAAGGAAUAUUGGUCAAUGGAGGAAACUCUGAACCAGCCAUCCCGCGUGCAGGAAGAAUGCCCUAUGGGUUGUAAACUGCUUUUAUCUGGGAAGAAAAGUCGGCAUUUAUGCUGAUCUGACGGUACCAGAGGAAUAAGCACCGGCUAACUCCGUGCCAGCAGCCG